GAAUGUUUCCUAGUACGUUUGUUAUUGUUGUUAUUAUUGGAGGUUAAAACCAAAACAAAACACGAAAUCUUUUAAUAUGUCGGUGAAAAAAUCAAAAGUGGUCUUUUAUUGUUGUGUGAAGGAUUGUCAUUCGCGGUACUGGAGCAACCGGUCGGACAACAUUAGAUUUUCAUGCUUUCCCGAUCCGGACAAAAAUCUAACACCUCAUCUUCGUCAUUUGGCAAAAAUUCGUUCGACUGCGUGGCGCAAAGUUUUGUCGCAGGCGGAAAAGCCACCAAAAAAUUCGAGAAUAUGUGGUAGACAUUUCGUAUCAGGCAAGCCGGCUAAGCUGACGGAUAAAAGCGGUGUGGACUGGAUCCCAAAUCUUAUUUACCCAAUUCAAUAAACACUAUUGAAAUGACUGAUGGUUAUUUAACAGUUAAAAUACAGAUUUUGCACACUCUGUUUGUUUACCGUCUGACACCGAUUCAGCGUCAGAAACUGGAAGCUUGAGGGAAGUACGAGUGCGUGAACAUAUUCGGCGAAAAUCAGUAAAAGUUCAAGUGUCUGUUCCCGUCAGAUGUCAUUCCACACAAACUGAAAAACUUGAUCAUGAAAAAACUAUCGAUCAACAAAAGGCUGAGAUUGAUAACUUGCAAAAUGUAAUUAAGGUGAAAAAUGAUGAAAUAUACAACCUAAAGAGAGUACAA